CCUACGGGCGGCAGCAGUGGGGAAUAUUGCGCAAUGGGCGAAAGCCUGACGCAGCGACGCCGCGUGAGGGAUGAAGGUCUUCGGAUCGUAAACCUCUGUUAGCAGGGAAGAACGGUCACUGUGCUAAUCAGCAGUGAAUUGACGGUACCUGCAAAGGAAGCACCGGCUAACUCCGUGCCAGCAGCCGCGGUAAUACGGAGGGUGCGAGCGUUAACCGGAUUUACUGGGCGUAAAGCGCGCGUAGGCGGUAUGUCAAGUCAAGGGUGAAAUCCCCGGGCUCAACGGGGGAACUGCCUUGGAAACUGGCAGACUUGAGUGUGGGAGAGGAGAGUGGAAUUCCAGGUGUAGGAGUGAAAUGCGUAGAUAUCUGGAGGAACAUCAGUGGCGAAGGCGACUAUCUGGCACAUAACUGACGCUGAGGAGCGAAAGCGUGGGUAGCAAACAGGAUUAGAUACCCCUGUAGUC
rnacentral:rRNA from 1 species